UACAGAGGUCUCGAGCGUUGUUCGGAUUCAUUGGGCGUAAAGGGUGCGUAGGUGGCGCUGUAAGUCAGGUGUGAAAUUUCGGAGCUUAACUCCGAAACUGCAUUUGAUACUGCGGUGCUUGAGGACUGGAGGGGAGACUGGAAUUUACGGUGUAGCAGUGAAAUGCGUAGAGAUCGUAAGGAAGACCAGUGGCGAAGGCGGGUCUCUGGACAGUUCCUGACACUGAGGCACGAAGGCCAGGGGAGCAAACGGG
rnacentral:rRNA from 1 species